GGCGGCAUCUGCAUCGUGAUGAGCGGCGAGCGGCCUCAGUCUUGCUGUUGGUCGUUUGGCGGCGGCGAAGCACGAAGGAAGAGGUGGACCAGAGGCGCUGGAAAGAUUCAGAAGAGGCCAUGGAGCAAUCAACUUGCUAGUGCCGAGUGUAUCUACUAUCAAGCAGGUAGCAUAAACGUCCUGCGGUGCUGCGGGUGGCCUCAUCUGCGACAUCAUCGCCGCCACCCUCCGACCUUGCUCUCCGGCAGCAACCAUGCUCCCUGGCCUUAGAUUCUCAGUUAUACCUUUUCAUUUGCAUGAAAAUUGAUGGUAGUGUAAAUGAAAAAUGCAUGGAAGCUGGUUUAACCUGUUAGUUUCCUUGCUUCGAUCUUUGAUUAUGUUCCCAACCUUAGCAGAUUUGGGUUAUUCAGUAUGCCAAAUGUAUUUUAAUAUCUGAGAAAAUUACUACAGAGGAUAUUCCAGUUGCUGGCCAUUGAGCACAUAUAACAUUCUAUUCUUUUUGAAUGUGUUUAUUUUAUGGGCACAUGAGGCCACGAAUUAUGUAGCUGUAUAUGGGGCCAUUCAGUCAUGCCUCAAACCAUGACGCUAGUUCUUAUUUUUGCAUUGGUAAUUCUUAUGUCUCGUUGCCACCAAGAACUACAUGACAUACGUUUUUUUAUGUUGCCACUGAGAAUUCUUACGUUGACGUAAGUUAUAUUACAAGCUCUGCGGACCAUUGGUUUAACCCACCCUAUCAUGAUAAAACAAAGGAAUUACCUGCACUAUCAGGACACAAACUUAAUUCCUCCUUUGCAAUUUGUCAUGAUGACACAUAGUGUUUAUCCAUAUAGUAGUUUAGGGGUUUUGACUUUGUUUUGAUUCAGCAAGCUGCUUAUGGUCUGGUAGUUUUAGAGGUUUAUCAUUCAAUGAAGUUGUACUAAACAUGUCACUCAUGACAGCCUGAUGGCAUACCAUGCUACGGGAGCGUUCUGCAACUUUGUGGAUCCACUCUUCAACAUGAGGUCAGUUCCCGAUCGCCAGCGUUAUGUUUCCUCGGCUUGAAGGAAAUUGCAAAGCAAUCAAUCUUUAAAUAGAUAUUGCAAUAUCAUCGAUCAAUCCAUUGAAAGAAAUGUUUCAUGGAAAACAGUUUAGAUAAUUAAUUGUACCCUGUGUGCUUUUCAGUGACCUGUCUGAUAGAUACCUGCAUGCUAUGUCAAUAUUAUCGAUUCUGUAAACAUGCUGCAAUAUCUGUGGUUCUGUAAUUGAAUUACUUCAGUAUCAUCGAUCCUGUAGGAUUGUUCCAAUAUUGAUCAUUAGGAAAAUGUACAUUGAUUCUGCAUAUGGCCGCAAACUGGAAAUCUGGAACUUUGCAAUUUUACGUCAGCUUGCUGUUAGGGUGCUGGCUAAAUGUUAAUUACAUAGGUAACUUCUUCCACUGUAUCCCAAUCCUUAUGGAGAUACCAAUAUUCCAUUCAAAAAGAUAGGUAUUGGUCUCCAACUAGCGCUGAUUAUUCAUGUGGAUUGUUCAAAUGGAAGUAUGGCUGAUUCUUGUAAAUUGAAUUUUCUGUUGUAGAGAUCUUGUUGAGACCCCAAUGGAUCAGCCCAUUUUAGCUCUCUGUAGUUUAUGUGUAGCUUUACAAGCAUAUCAAAACGGAAUUACAAGCAUAUCACAUCGGAGCAUCCAUUCAGGAUUACAAGCUUACGAAUUAAUUGAAUGUCAACUUCAUUUUGUACAUGUCUCCAGGUGCAUUAUAGUCCAUAGAUUGUUUGCGCAGUACAAAACGAAAUUAUUUGGUAGUUUCUAUUCAGGUUUUAUCGAUCCCAUUAUUCAGGUCUAGAUGUUCCAAUUCUGAAUUUUGUAGUUUUUUUUUCGAGAAAAUGCAAAAAGCCUUUGCAUUUCAUUUCAUUGAAAAGAAGGAGAUGAGUUUGUUACUAUUACAAUCCUCCUAAGAGGCCAUGGUUCUGAAAACAAAAAUUUGUAGUUGAGGAGUAGCUUGCUCCGGUAUGCAAAUUAUAGGCCACUCCAUCGCUAUACACAUAGUAAUAUUUUUGUAGGCACAUCUCCUCUAACAAUGACAAGAUUGCUAGGUGCUAGCAUUCACAAUUAUGGAGAGGAUGCUGGUCAAGUUGGUAUGGUCAGUAAACAAACAGUUCUGAUGGAGUAGUUUGGCAAGGAACCGAGAUUUCUUUCAGUUGGAUGGCAAAUGAACAUUUUUCAGAUGAAUAUAGUGUUAUGUGUUAUUUCUGUAGCCUGUAGAACUAUGAACUAAGUUAGUGGACUUCUCUAUAGUGACAAGCCAUUUUGAGUUUUAUUAUAACAACAUUAUCUCCU